ensembl:lncRNA
AAGCGAUUCUUCAUGUAAAUACUGCUAUAUUAUGAUUAUGACAUAUUAUGAUUUCACAGGAAAGAAGAGGAAGCGGUCGGUCGAGCUGGGGCAUACCCCUCAUCACAGAAAGAAGGAGGCCCUUUACACCCCCCAGCAACACCACCUCUCUCCCAUAUCUCAGAUUUGAUUUUCUGCACCAAAAACUGACCAAGAAGUCCAGCAAACUCACGUUUACAAUAAAACAAUUCAUCAGCGAACACAGCUCCCAGUCCCAUAAAGAUGGCACCUGGCCUUCAGACCACUGCUUCUGCAGACUACGGUUCCACAAGGACCCACAAGCGUUUGAAAUGCUGAGAUUUCUACAUUAUUUGCAUUCAAACAGGCGACAGGGUCGAGGGUUCCCCGUACUGGUAAGUGAUCCGUGCACGUGCCGUGCCCGUGCUCGCGCCGAUCCCGUUUUUUGCGUUUGUUUGUUUUUUUUUUUUUUUUUUCUCCCAGUGUGUGUGUGUGUGUGUGUGUGUGUGUGUGUGUUUAAACGUUCUGCAUGUUCUCCUGCAUGUGUUGGGCUCGGCUCCUGCUUGUCCGUAUGCUGCAUAUGCUGCUACAAUGUCCUGUCACCAUUAAAGUCGUGUGUGCACCCCCACUUUGAAAAAGGAUCCGCAUGUGUGUGUUCAAUUCGGACUCAUCGUUUUAAUGCCCAUUGUUUUAAGAAAAGCAGCUUUUCUUUGCAGAUGGGGAAUCUCCCUGAUGUUUAACAUUCAAAUUCAUCGCGACUGCGAACUCCUUUGUCCGUGGGCGCUGUUGAGUCUCUUUUUUUUUUUGUUUUUUUUUUUUUUUCCCCGUGUUUUUCCUUCUUGCGAGAAUCUCGAGCUCGCGCGCGUGGAAUUCCCCCUCGGAUGAAGGAGUGAGAAUCGAGGAUUCGACUUGUUCGCCCUCCGAAAAUAAUGUCGACACAGAGAGCGACUGCGGUGGAGGAAAAGAAAAGAAAAGGAAAGGAAAGGAAAGGAAAGAAAAGGGAAAGACGCGAAGGAGGAGGACGGAGAGGAGAGGCGAGGCGAGGCGAGGCGAGCGGAGCAGGACAGGCGCUCUGCGGACCGGCGGGGAAACCCGGGCGCUAUCCAGCCGACGUGGUGCUGAAAAUAGAUGGAACCGAGGCAGGGGGGUGGGGGUGUUCCGCGGUCCGCGUUCCCGCAACUGGAUCUCCGUGCAUUAGGAAAGCACCACAUUUACGCGCAAAAAAAAAAGAAAAAUGGGAAAAAAAAAGAAAACUAAAAAAAGGCCCUGCUGCUCCAAUGAGACGUGAAAAGGGGAGCCGGAGCCGUCCGGCAGAGGAGACCUUAGGACCCCCCCACCCCCCCCCCCAACCCCAAUAACAGUAAAGGAAAGGGGGCUCGUAGACACACGGCGUCCCAGCCGAGCAGCGUUCCCGCCCGCGUCGUUUGAACCCUUUACCUGAUGAUGUGAACGCGCACACGAGGAGGCUAUAGGCGGCUCGAGUCCGAUCGCUCUUCCGCCCACGUCACCCGCGUCCUUUCUCUACGAUUUUACCAACUGAUUGAUUCGUUUUUCUUCGCGUGCCCCAGUUCCUUUCGUGUCGUGGCCAUAAUCACUUCGGCUAAGUCCACCAGACACACACACACGCACACGCACACACACUGGUGGAGGGAGUGCAGUGGUGAUGACCUGCUCAUCUUUCAUUUAGGGAUGUAGUGACUACUGUUUUCUGCAUGAGAUGAGGAUGACCAUGGAACCGAA